CUGCGCAGCGGUGCCGAUCCAAAACAGCAGCCCCGAAUCCCCCGCAUCGCGUGCUCGCUCGAUCUGCGCAGCCCCAACAUCGACGCCGUUCACCCCGGCGAGGAACCCCGUGUGUUGCGUGGAGAAGGCAAGUCGUUCAACGCUCGUCGGAUGCUCGGAGCGAUGCACAAAUCGGAAUCGCCAUCGUCCUUACAAACACCGAUUGGGUUUGUUUAUGGUGAGCCGAUGACCGAGAGAUGA
rnacentral:misc_RNA from 1 species